UACAGAGGGUGCGAGCGUUACUCGGAAUUACUGGGCGUAAAGCGUGCGUAGACGGUUAUUUAAGUCGGGUGUGAAAGCCCCGGGCUCAACCUGGGAAUUGCAUUCGAGACUGAAUAGCUAGGGUACGGUAGAGGGAAGUGGAAUUUCCGGUGUAGCGGUGAAAUGCGCAGAUAUCAGGGGGAACACCGGUGGCGAAGGCGGUUCUCUGGGCAUUACCUGACGCUGAGGAGCGAAAGUGUGGGGAGCGAACAGG
rnacentral:rRNA from 1 species